AUGAAGAAGGUUGCACACUAUUUCUCAGACCACUCAAUUUCAACCGUCAGCAACACUCCAUUGUCAGAAAUUCUGAAUAAUAGGGAUGCAACUGGUCAAGUGGCAAAGUGGGCAAUCGAACUCCUUCCUUUGGAUAUCAAGUUUGAGGCAAAGAAAGUCAUCAAGUCUCAAGCAAUAGCAGAUUUCCUCGCAGAGUGGAUUGAACAGCAGCAACCGACUCAGAUUCACUCGGAACAUUGUACUAUGUUCUUUGAUGGAUCCAAGAUGUUGAAUGGCUCUGUUGCAGGAGUGGUUUUAGUAUCCCCAAGAGGAGACAAGCUCAGCUAUGUCCUCCAGAUUCACUUUGAUUCUUCAAACAAUGAAGCUGAGUAUGAGACACUGUUGUAUGGGUUACGUAUGGCCAUUUCACUCGGCGUCCGACGCUUCAUGGUCUACGGUGACUCAUACUUAGUGGUUAAUCAAGUAAUGAAAGAAUGA
rnacentral:rRNA from 1 species